rnacentral:tRNA from 1 species
CGGGGCGUAGCUCAGCAGCAGAGCGCCCGACUCAUGACCGGUACAGACCCGGGUGCAAUACCCGGCGCCCCGC